GCUCAUAUAUCUAAUUUAAGUGCUGGGUUCUUACCUCAGUGAUGUGUAGUCGCACUGUGGGCU
rnacentral:tRNA from 1 species